rnacentral:rRNA from 1 species
UCGCGGCCUAUUAGCUAGUUGGUGAGGUGACGGCUCACCAAGGCGACGAUGGGUAGCUGGUCUGAGAGGAUGGUCAGCCACAUCGGGACUGAGAUACUGCCCGGACUUCUACGGAAGGCUGCAGUCGAGAAUCUUGGGCAAUGCGCGAAAGCGUGACCCAGCGACGCCGCGUGGGGGAUGAAGGCCUUCGGGUUGUAAACCCCUCUUCGGUGGGAAGAACGCCCCGACUCGGUCGGGGCUGACGGUACCACUGGAAUAAGCCACGGCUAACUACGUGCCAGCAGCCGCGGUAAUACGUAGGUGGCAAGCGUUGUCCGGAUUUACUGGGCGUAAAGCGUCCGCAGGCGGCCUGCUUAGUUGGGUGUGAAAGGUUGGGGCUCAACCCCAAGCGGCACCCAAUACUGGCUGGCUGGAGUCUCGGAGAGGA